rnacentral:rRNA from 1 species
AACGAACGCUGGCGGCGUGCUUAACACAUGCAAGUCGAACGGUGACCUCGAGAGCUUGCUCUCGGGCGAUCAGUGGCGAACGGGUGAGUAACACGUGCGUAACCUGCCCCAGACUCUGGAAUAACCCCGGGAAACCGGAGCUAAUACCGGAUACGAGACGGAGUCGCAUGGCUACCGUCUGGAAAGUUUUUCGGUCUGGGAUGGACUCGCGGCCUAUCAGCUAGUUGGUGAGGUAACGGCUCACCAAGGCGACGACGGGUAGCCGGCCUGAGAGGGCGACCGGCCACACUGGGACUGAGACACGGCCCAGACUCCUACGGGAGGCAGCAGUGGGGAAUAUUGCACAAUGGGCGAGAGCCUGAUGCAGCGACGCCGCGUGAGGGAUGACGGCCUUCGGGUUGUAAGCCUCUUUCAGCAGGGAAGAAGCGAAAGUGACGGUACCUGCAGAAGAAGCACCGGCUAACUACGUGCCAGCAGCCGCCGUAACAC